rnacentral:lncRNA from 1 species
ACUCAAACCAGCUGUAUUAAGGAAGGUGCAAGCUUUUGGGAUUUCUGUUUGGAUUUAGUUUAGGUUCAAAAGAGCACGCACAGAUCCUGAGUGUUGUCAAGCACCCGUGACUGGGAAACGGAGGCGUCCGAUCCGUAUUGGAGUCAAUUCGCCACUUAAUUGAACACAGCCUCGAAGGGAAGGGCCAUAUUUGUGGGCCUGUCUAACAAUUAAGAGUGACCACAUGGAAUGGGGGAUGAAAGGGUUAAAGAAGAACAAAUAUUGAACACAGCUUUUCUAUGAACAAACUGCAGGCAGCUGCUGCUUUGCAAGGGACACUGACGCUAGAGAGGAAGCAGUGCUUUGAGUUUGCCAUUCUGGCAAUGUCCAAAUGUGGAAGACUGGAUAACAGGGAAGCAGUUGAUUGAGAAUAAUGGUUCUGUUUUGGAGGUUGAUGGAAGAUGCCCUUUGGCCAGGAAAACAGCUCAUGCUUUUAGAGGAGGAUAAUUGCCAGAAGGCCUCUCUGAAUAAAAAAAAAUCCUGACCUCACAGCCUUUGCGCUUACUUGGGUUAGAAUGCCACAGUGAACAUUGCCCCUUGUCAUCACGUAGAGGUGCUCACAGGUAAAGCAACACAAGGAGCAUAUAGGAUCACCUGCUGGAUCUUGUUUUUAACACCAGGGAGGAAAAUGGUGUCUUGGGUAAUGAACAUGCCUCAAGACUGAGCUGGCCAUCUUCAGUGUCAUCCAAACCCUCAGUGGCCCCUGAAAAACCCUUUGAAAAGAUUCAGCACGUUGCCAUGGAGAACAUCCCACUGAAGGAAUGUAUAGAAGUAGCAGGGUUAACUGAGUGCCUUCCAUCUUCCCUCCAAGGGAUCUGCAAUGAGAUGGGAGAAGGCAACAGGCUGUGUGGGAACCACUGAAGCUGGGAUGGCAGGGAAAGAACAUCUUAGGCUAACUCUUCAAGCCUUGCUGUCACAUUUGCUUUUGAGUCUAUGGUGUCAGCUGCCUACCAGUUGCUUUCAUCUCUAGAAAUCUGUGACUUGCAGUAUGACAAGAACAAAAGGUGACAAUACAAAGGACAAAGGGCAAGGAAUACAGACGGAGAAGCCGCUUAGAGUCUAGGAUGGCAGAGGUUCUCUUGAUCAUUUCAUUUUUGAGCGCUUGUAGAGCUUUGGUGUACCAGAGGUGCUUGAACAGCUUACCACACCACAGAUGAAUGGCCUUUGGAUUUCUCCUAAGAAAAUGUGGCUACCUGAAAUUCAACUCCAUUUUCUGGUCUUCAAUAUUUCUUUUGUGUUCAGUUUGCCAGCUGAGGAGAAGUGGCUAAGCAUAGCCUGUUACUGAUGCUAAAGCCCAAGUUCUGAACCUAACAACUCCAGCAACAUGAUCCUGUUUCAAGAGACAAAAAAGUGACUAAUGAAAGAAAACAAUUGAUGUGCUAUGUAGAGUUUAAAAGAAGGUAAAGAGAAUAAAUUAAAAGCAACAAC